GUCAUCGCCCCUCAAGCCAACAUGGCCGCUGCAGCUGCCUGAACGCGAGUCCGGGACUCCGGGAGCUCGCCCCCCACUAGCGGCCGCCGCCCCCGUCCCCCUCGCGGACACCGAGUGCGUCACGACGGAGGCCACCCUGGAGCAUCACGGGAAGGAUCAGGCAGCUACCAGUUCAAUAGGAGAUCAAGCUGACUCCUAAUAUAGAGCUUGUCCCACUAUCUACUCUCCUACCAACAAACUUCUACAAAACCAAGGAGGACUAUUAAUCACUCUACUGCAUAAUAUAUUCAACCCAAGAAAAGGAAUAAAUU